ACUUUGUUACUUUCUCAACACUACCCAUCACGGAGAAAAUUCUAUUUUUUACGUAAAUUAUUUAAAAAACAACAACUUUUAUAGAUACGGAUAAAAACAAGUGCAAUUUUUAGUUGAAUAAAAAAUUAUACAAAUAAUUGUGUUAAAAUAUAUACCAUUUGCAAGACGAUUAGAAAUAAAUAUAUAUCGAAAUUUCCAUUGCGAGUAAAAGACGUCAUUCAUUCAUUUGGUGCUGUGUCAUCAAAGCAAAGCGAAGAAGAAAAAGUUUUUAUUGCUGCACAAGAAAAAAGAAAAUUACGUGCAAAGCGCAACCAUACACAUACGGGGAGUAAAAGAAGAAAGAAAGCAGCAGUUUAGUAGUGGAGUAAAUUGUAGCAAGCCAAAAGAAUAAUCCAAAGGUGGCUCUCCAUAAAAGAAAGUUAAAUAAAUAUUUGUAGUGCUCUUUGUGUUGUGGCUUCAAAAAAAUAGUAAAAAAAAAAUAUAACCAUUGCGUGGGUUUGCCAUAUACGAGUAUUUUAUGUGUGGAAUUUGUAUGUCCAAUAGCUGCUAUUAUCAUAGUCAACUUUGAUUAGAUAUUGUGUGAGGUCUCGGAAAAAAGACCGACUGGGCUUGCACCAUACCAACAACCAGCACAUUUCCAAUUUCGAAAACCAACCAUUCCCAAAGAGCAAAACAACGGCUCACUCUCUUCGCUGACUUGCUUACUCACUCACUGUGUCAAUAGCCAUCAGCAUUUUGGUGAACCACUGCGGCCCUGCCCUCCCUACUACGGUAAACUCCAGCCCCUACCGAAAAAAACACAAACACCAGCGAAAUCGAAACGUCACAGCAACUCAAAAGGGGAAUUUUGCUUAACAAACUUGGAAGCCAACAUUUCGACAGACAAAAUAAUCAAUAACGUUUUUUUUUUAUUAAUUAUUAUUUGUUGCUGUUCUUUGUACAGCUUGCUUUGGAGCACUAAACAAACGCCAAUUAAAGUUUAAGAAAUCAACUUUUGAAAAAAAAAAUAAAUAAAAAA
rnacentral:sRNA from 1 species